GACGAACGCUGGCGGCGUGCUUAACACAUGCAAGUCGAACGGAAAGGCCCUGCUUUUGUGGGGUGCUCGAGUGGCGAACGGGUGAGUAACACGUGAGUAACCUGCCCUUGACUUUGGGAUAACUUCAGGAAACUGGGGCUAAUACCGGAUAGGAGCUCCUGCUGAAUGGUGGGGGUUGGAAAGUUUCGGCGGUUGGGGAUGGACUCGCGGCUUAUCAGCUUGUUGGUGGGGUAGUGGCUUACCAAGGCUUUGACGGGUAGCCGGCCUGAGAGGGUGACCGGCCACAUUGGGACUGAGAUACGGCCCAGUCUGCUACGGGAGGCAGCAGUGGGAAAUAUUGCCCAAUGGGCGGAAGCCUGAGGCAGCAACCCCGCGUGCGGGAUGACGGCCUUCGGGUUGAAAACCGCUUGCGCCUGAGACGAAGCGUGAGUGACGGUAAUGGGUAAAGAAGCACCGGCUAACUACGUG
rnacentral:rRNA from 1 species